rnacentral:rRNA from 1 species
UACGUAGGGGCCUAGCGUUGUCCGGAUUUAUUGGGCGUAAAGAGCUCGUAGGCGGUUUGGUGAGUCGGGUGUGAAAUCUCCACGCUCAACGUGGAGGGGCCACCCGAUACUGCCAUACUAGAGUCCGGUAGGGGAGUGUGGAAUUCCCGGUGUAGCGGUGAAAUGCGCAGAUAUCGGGAGGAACACCAGUAGCGAAAGCGACACUCUGGGCCGGUACUGACGCUGAGGAGCGAAAGCGUGGGGAGCAAACAGG